AUACGGAGGGUGCAAGCGUUGUCCGGAUUUAUUGGGUUUAAAGGGUGUGUAGGCGGUGUAUUAAGUCAGUGGUGAAAGCCUGCGGCUCAACCGUAGAACUGCCAUUGAUACUGACACACUUGAGUUUGGUUGAGGUAGACGGAAUUUAUGGUGUAGCGGUGGAAUGCAUAGAUACCAUAAAGAACACCGAUAGCGAAAGCAGCUUACUAGGCCAUAACUGACGCUGAGGCACGAAAGCGUGGGGAGCGAACAGGAUUAGAAACCCCGGUAGUCC
rnacentral:rRNA from 1 species